rnacentral:tRNA from 1 species
CCUGAUGGCUCAAAUGGUAAAGCGUCUGCCUACAAUGCGGGAGACCCGGGUUUGAUUCCUGGGUCAGGA